rnacentral:rRNA from 1 species
GAUGAACGCUGGCGGCGUGCCUAAUACAUGCCAGUCGAGCGAACAGAUAAGGAGCUUGCUCCUUUGAAGUUAGCGGCGGACGGGUGAGUAACACGUGGGUAACCUACCUAUAAGACUGGGAUAACUUCGGGAAACCGGAGCUAAUACCGGAUAACAUUUAGAACCGCAUGGUUCUAAAGUGAAAGAUGGUUUUGCUAUCACUUAUAGAUGGACCCGCGCCGUAUUAGCUAGUUGGUAAGGUAACGGCUUACCAAGGCGACGAUACGUAGCCGACCUGAGAGGGUGAUCGGCCACACUGGAACUGAGACACGGUCCAGACUCCUACGGGAGGCAGCAGUAGGGAAUCUUCCGCAAUGGGCGAAAGCCUGACGGAGCAACGCCGCGUGAGUGAUGAAGGGUUUCGGCUCGUAAAACUCUGUUAUUAGGGAAGAACAAAUGUGUAAGUAACUGUGCACAUCUUGACGGUACCUAAUCAGAAAGCCUCGGCUAACUACGUG